GAGACCCGAGUACCGCCCCCUUGGCCCGCAGCAGGGCACCCCCGUGCCUGCCUUCCGGGACGCAGGUGGGGGUUGGGGACACGGACCUCAGUCCUCAUAGCUCCUGAUUUGGGACCAGGGAGUGGUUCCUGAGGGUUCCCAGGCAAAGCCUCUGCUAGAGUUUUCUUCGGAAGUUAGCUGGGCAUCUAACUAGGCAGCUCUGCCACAGGCUGGGGGGAAGGACAGCAUAACCAAAACCAGAACCCCAUUAUGAUUUUUGUGGGCCCUAAGUACCUUUGCCUUAAUGGGCUCCUUUUCCAUAAAAAAAUAUUUAAAAGUAUAUUUUACGACUGUGGUGGUAUAAAGCCGAAUAUGUUAAUGUUAUAUAUUCAAACAAUUUCUUCGGCCUGAAAGUUUGUUUUUCCCUUCUGAUAGUAAAAUGAGUUAAACAUUUUCAUGAGCUUCUAAAAGGAUUGUGGACCCUAGGCAGUGUUGCCCCCUGUGCCGGAUGGGUGAGUUGGCCCUGGGUAAAAUCAGAGCGAUGUGACACAGCCUGGAAAGAACAUGAAAGGACCUAGAGGAUAGAAUUCUCCCCUCCUGGAGGAGGCCAUAAACACAGGAACAGCUGCACAGGAAGGGCCUUGAAUGACCUAAGAAGUGUGGAUUUUAAGGCGACAGAGGUGGUGAGAAACUGCUGCAAGGCUGGAUUGGAGGACUGAUGGUUUGGGGGUGGCACUGGUGGUGGGGAGAGAAAUGAGGAGGCUGUUGCUAUGGUAGUCACAUGUUGGAGCUCACAAAUCAAUGUGGAAAUGAAGCAGGGGGCAAGGGGAAGACAUACUUGGGAAGCCGAAGCCCACUGAUAUGAGGCAGUAAUGCAGAGAGAAGCCUGGGCUAUCUUCUCUGGCUUGGGUGAAUGGCAGAUGCUGCUACCCCUCUUGGAAAAUAGGAAGACGGGAGGAGAACGUGUAUGUGCACCAGGACUUUGGGAAGAUCAAAUGGAAGGUCUUUCACAAAUAACAAAGCAAGGAGACUUCGAGUAACUUCACAGGCUUGUGGGCAGCUUCAGGGCCACCUCUUGCCCAGACCCUGCAAGUUGGGACACUUUCCUGCUCACUAUGGCCUGGAGGACAAAACCACCUCACUUGGACAUUUCCAGAAUAAAGAAUGGGGAAAAGCAGACUAGGUUUUCAAUACCCUUUCAGUAGAAAACUGCCCCAUAAACUCAUUGGCUACCUACUUCUUAAUCCCCAAUAACUGUUUUUAUGUGCGCAUCCCCACCCCCAUAAUAGGCUUGACUCCCACCCUCCAAUACAAACACUGGGCUUUCUCCAGAGCAGAUCAGGCCAAAAGCAAGGGCUGGGACAGGAAAUACACUUACAGGGAGAAGAGCUGGGUCUGAAUGACUCCUUGAAAGAUAAUCCUUCAUGUAUUCACUCUAAAACACGAAUCUAGCACUUACUAUGUGUUCUGGUACCAUUCUAGCACUGGGGAUGCAAUAAAAAUCAAAUAAGACGUGGUUCUUCAUGGAGAUGCUACUUCAGUGGGGGGAAGACUGACUGUGGAGAUGUCACUUUCCAAAGAUGUAUGCAUGUUCUAGAAUUUUGCCUCUUCCCUACCAAAAGGUGAUGUCCAAUACCCCCUUCCUUUCAAUCUGGGCAGACUUGUGACUCACUUGUAACCAACGGCAUGUUGGUUACAGAUGUGAUUUUUCAUGACUUCUGAGACUAGAUCAUAAGAGGUGAUAUAGCUUCUGCCUUGUUAGAUGGGACAUGUCUUUGGAGCUACAACUUAGGAAGUUCGACAACCCAGAGAUUGCCAUGUUGUGAGGAAGCCCAGGCCACAUGGAAAGGCC
rnacentral:lncRNA from 10 species